GACUCAAAUAUUCAAAAUGUCCCAAUCAUGGAAAUUGGCCCAUCUCUCUCUCUCUCUCUCCCUCUCUCACACGAGUGCGCGACUGUUAGCAGGGCAGACGACGGUGUGGAGUGACGGCGUGCAGCGGCAGACGAUAGCGACAACGUGAGACGGCAUCGAGCAGCGGCAGGCGAUAGCGUCGAGCGACGGCGAGCAUCAAGCAGUGCACAAGUUUCUUGUAUGCCAAGGCCAUGUAUCUGAAUUGUGUUUUUGUUGACCUUGCAGGGCAGACAAAUGUAUGACGGCAUCCUUCGGUUUUCAGGCUGAUGUGAGAGCUCUACAAAAGGUAUUGGCAGCUAGGAACUUGGUUUGAGGAAAUGAAAGAUGUGCUGGAAGUAAUGCAUCAUUUUGGACACAGAUCCAUCAGCAUCAACACAACAAGCAGAUGAGCUGUCCUGGUAAGGGUUGUGUCUUCACAUAUGAUGUUGUUGGCUCCCAUGAGAGGGUUGGAUACAGUUCCCAAGGUUCUGGUUCUACACUCAUCAUGCCUUUUGUGGACAACCAACUGAAGUCUCCAAGCCCUCUCUUGUCACCUGCCCAGUGGCUGUGCUGUGGCUCCAAGAUCUUCAUCGCUUGAUUCCUUCACUGAAACAAAAAUUUUAAAAUUCUUGGUUUAAUCACGAUAACAUAGUUUCAUGUUCACGUGAUGGCAGCGCGAUUAUUUGGGUUCCAAGGUCACACAAAUCUCAUGGAAAAACUGUACGUUGGACAUGAGCUUAUCAUCUCAAAGUUCCUCCUCCCCCUAUGCCACCUCAACCUCUUCGAGGAGGCUCACGUCAGAGGUUUCUUCCAACUCCUUGGGGUGUUAAUAUGAUUGUGUGGAGUUUGGAUAAUCUCUCUGUGCUUGCUGCAUCAUGGAUUGCAGAAUAUGUGUUUGGAAUGCUAGUGAUGGUAGCUUGGUACAUUCCUUGACUGGUCAGAGUGGAUCUGUAAGUGGUGUCUAACUUUUUGAAUGAUAUUAUGGUUGAAAGCAUCUUUUUUAAAAUUCUUUACUUAAGGAUAGAAUUGUAUGUUAUUUUCUACCAUCGGGCUCUUUAGUUUAGCCUGCUAGUUAGAUUGAAUGUUAUUUUCGAGACUCAAAUUAAUUUGGAAUUUUUUUCUUAGAGAUGUAUUUUCAUUUAAUCUUUAUCUGAAAUGGCCUGGGGAAGGAAAGGUAACUGGGCUAAGCUUUUAGACCACUGGCUGAGAGCAUAUGGUUAUGACCACGGCAUCAAGGGCUCAAAUUCCUCCUUGGCCAAGUGGCCUAAAAGGGGAGGACUUUUUCUUCUAUGGGUUAAACAAAUCCUGUUCAGGUAGUUUAUGUGAGAAUAGUAUGUGUUAACCAAUCUUUCAAUUUUUUCAGAAGUUGAUUAGGGUAGAUAUUGUUUUUUGAUUCAUUGUCUAUUGAAAAUCUUGAUACUCAAAUUUGGUUGCCCUUGACUAAGUUCAUUUCUUGUAGAAUGUUGUGAACUUGUGAUUGCUUUUGAUA